rnacentral:rRNA from 1 species
GACGAACGCUGGCGGUAUGCUUAACACAUGCAAGUCGAACGAGAAGUCUUUUAUUGAACCUUCGGGGGAUAUAAGAGACAGACAGUGGCGAACGGGUGAGUAACGCGUGGGCAACCUACCUAUCGGAGCGGGAUAGCCUCGAGAAAUCGGGAGUAAAACCGCAUAACACGGAUAUAUCGCAUGAUGAAUCCGUCAAAACUCCGGUGCCGAUAGAUGGGCCCGCGUCUGAUUAGCUAGUUGGUAAGGUAAGGGCUUACCAAGGCAACGAUCAGUAGCCGGUCUGAGAGGGCGAACGGCCACACUGGAACUGAGACACGGUCCAGACUCCUACGGGAGGCAGCAGUGGGGAAUAUUGCGCAAUGGGGGCAACCCUGACGCAGCAAUACCGCGUGAGUGAAGAAGGUUUUUCGGAUCGUAAAAGCUCUGU